AUAAGAAUGUAGCAUCUGAAAUAUUUUCUUUGUUUUUGAUAUUUCUUUGUACAGUACCUUGGAAGUGUGUGGUCUGUGUUCCUGCUAAUAGCUGAGAGGGAAAAAUCCACUUUUUGCUUGGCUUGUGUCAGCAUCAUUACACACCAUCCUUGUCAUCUUCCAUGGAAAGAAGGAAGGGGAAAUUAGAUUCCUUGAGAGAAUGUAGGCAGAGAGGCAGGCAGAGAAUCAGGCUCCCUGCUGAGCAGAGGGCCCGAUGCGGGGCUCAAUCCCAGGACCCUGGGAUCAUGAUCCGAGCUGAAGGCAGCCGCUUAACCGACUGAGCCACCC
rnacentral:lncRNA from 1 species